UAAGCCCAAGGUCAAGUUGGAGAUGGUCAUCCAAGGUAAGUGGUGCCAAAGGCACCCGCCAUCUCCGCCAAAAGGGCUUGCCCUUGGGUGGAGGC
rnacentral:ncRNA from 1 species